UGCAUUCACUACUGUAGGUUGCUCUGGAUAAGAGUGUCUGCUAAAUGACUAAAA
rfam:Salmo salar isolate Sally breed double haploid chromosome ssa19, whole genome shotgun sequence.